GCAUUGAGAGUUUGGAUAGUAGUAAGUUGUGAA
rnacentral:misc_RNA from 1 species